GUGCGAGACCGAUAGCGAACAAGUACCGUGAGGAAAAGAUGAAAAGAACUUUGAAAAGAGAGUUAAAGAGUACCUGAAACUGCUGAAAGGGAACCGAAUCGUAUCCAGUGUCUAUAAUCCAUGGCAUAUUUCAUUGGCGAGUGAGUGCGUGCAGCGUUUUGGAAGUGGUUUUCCGCUCCUGUCGUUGUUGUGCAUUUGCUUGCUGGUGCCCUGUGCUGUGGUGGGACGUCAGAGUCAGUUUGUGUGUCGCGGGAAAUGGUUAUUGGGGAGGUAGGUCGCUUCGGUGGCUAUUAUAUCCUGGUAACUAGUCGUCGUGGCUGAGACUGAGGUGCCUACAAUGUGCUUUCGAGUGUGCGGGUUUCUCGUGUGGCUGUUUGCUUUGAUAGCUUGCUAUGUUGGUGAAUAAGUUGUGCGAUUGAGACCUGUAUUAACUUGUUGCUGUUCGGGACUUUG
rnacentral:rRNA from 2 species